rnacentral:rRNA from 1 species
AGAGUUUGAUCAUGGCUCAGAUUGAACGCUGGCGGUAUGCUUAACACAUGCAAGUCGAACGGUAGCAGGCCUUCGGGCGCUGACGAGUGGCGGACGGGUGAGUAACGCGUAGGAAUCUGCCUUUUAGUGGGGGACAACUUAUGGAAACGUAAGCUAAUACCGCAUACGCCCCAAGGGGGAAAGCGGGGGACCUUCGGGCCUCGCGCUAAAAGAUGAGCCUGCGUUGGAUUAGCUAGUUGGCGGGGUAAGGGCCCACCAAGGCGACGAUCCAUAGCUGGUCUGAGAGGACGAUCAGCCACACUGGACUGAGACACGGCCCAGACUCCUACGGGAGGCAGCAGUGGGGAAUAUUGGACAAUGGGCGGAAGCCUGAUCCAGCAAUACCGCGUGUGUGAAGAAGGCCUGAGGGUUGUAAAGCACUUUCAAUGGGGAGGAAAACCUGUCGGCGAACACCCGGCAGACUGACAUUACCCAUACAAGAAGCACCGGCUAACUCCGUGCCAGCAGCCGCGGUAAUACGGAGGGUGCGAGCGUUAAUCGGAAUUACUGGGCGUAAAGCGUGCGUAGGCGGCUCGUUAAGCCGGAUGUGAAAGCCCUGGGCUCAACCUGGGAACUGCAUUCGGGACUGGCGGGCUAGAGUUUGGUAGAGGGGAGUGGAAUUUCAGGUGUAGCGGUGAAAUGCGUAGAGAUCUGAAGGAACACCAGUGGCGAAGGCGACUCCCUGGACCAGAACUGACGCUGAGGUACGAAAGCGUGGGUAGCAAACAGGAUUAGAUACCCUGGUAGUCCACGCCGUAAACGAUGUCAACUAGCCGUUGGCCCUAUUCGUAGGGUUAGUGGCGCAGCUAACGCAUUAAGUUGACCGCCUGGGGAGUACGGCCGCAAGGUUAAAACUCAAAUGAAUUGACGGGGGCCCGCACAAGCGGUGGAGCAUGUGGUUUAAUUCGAUGCAACGCGAAGAACCUUACCUACCCUUGACAUCCAGAGAAUCUGUUAGAGAUAGCGGAGUGCCUUCGGGAACUCUGAGACAGGUGCUGCAUGGCUGUCGUCAGCUCGUGUCGUGAGAUGUUGGGUUAAGUCCCGUAACGAGCGCAACCCUUGCCCUUAGUUGCCAGCGGGUCAUGCCGGGAACUCUAGGGGGACUGCCGGUGAUAAACCGGAGGAAGGUGGGGACGACGUCAAGUCAUCAUGGCCCUUAUGGGUAGGGCUACACACGUGCUACAAUGGCCGGUACAGAGGGCCGCGAAGCUGCGAGGCCAAGCAAAUCCCAGAAAGCCGGUCCUAGUCCGGAUUGCAGUCUGCAACUCGACUGCAUGAAGUCGGAAUCGCUAGUAAUCGCGAAUCAGAAUGUCGCGGUGAAUACGUUCCCGGGCCUUGUACACACCGCCCGUCACACCAUGGGAGUGGGUUGCAAAAGAAGUGGGUAGUCUAACCUUCGGGGGGGCGCUCACCACUUUGUGGUUCAUGACUGGGGUGAAGUCGUAACAAGGUA